UACGAAGGGGGCUAGCGUUGUUCGGAAUUACUGGGCGUAAAGCGUGCGCAGGCGGCUUCUCAAGUCAGGGGUGAAAGCCCAGAGCUCAACUCUGGAAUUGCCUUUGAGACUGAGAGGCUUGAGUACGGGAGAGGUGAGUGGAAUUCCCAGUGUAGAGGUGAAACUCGUAGAUAUUGGGAAGAACACCAGUGGCGAAGGCGGCUCACUGGACCGUAACUGACGCUCAUGCACGACAGCGUGGGGAUCAAACAGG
rnacentral:rRNA from 1 species